AACGCACAUUGCGCCUCCUGGUAUUCCGGGAGGCAUGCCUGUUCGAGCGUCAUUAAAAUCACUCAAGCUUAGGUUUACCUAUUGCUUGGUCUUGGAGAUGGAAGCCAAUUCAUUGGAAUCCUCUUCGAAAUUCAAUGGCGAAGACCCUUGCUCUCCCAAGUGUAGUAAUAACUUAUGUCACUGAAGGAAGCGAGAAAUCUUCUGCCGUAACCCCCAUAUUUUCUAUGAUUGACCUCGGAUCAGGUAGGGAUACCCGCUGAACUUAA
rnacentral:misc_RNA from 3 species